rnacentral:lncRNA from 1 species
CCCCGGGGGGGGCCUCGCGGACGGGGGCGCAGGGCUGCGGGGAGGAGGCGGGCGGGCCCCUCGGGCGACACUGCGGGGCGGGCGGCGCGAAGCCCGGACUCAGCGGUUUCCUGGGCAACCGGCCUCCUCCGGCGCGGCCCGCGCGGCUCCAGGUGGCGGGAGGCGGCGGUUGGCGGGAAGGGCCGCGCGGGCCCGGGGGCGGCGCCUCAGAAGGCACCGCAUGCAUGUCUGCCGUGGCCCCAGGUCCUCCCCGCACCGCCGUUGUGAGCGUUUACACUCAUUACCCAGGUCCGUCUGGGAGACCCGCCGGGCUCCUGCCCUCCUGGCCCGCAGCCUCCUGGCCAAAAUCCUCCCGGGACACCCCACCUGGACUGCUGUGAACGGGCCCCCACCCGCCUCCCCGGACCCGCAGCACCCCCCGCUCCCUCAGGGUUCCGGGGUGAAGGGGUCUGAAUAGCACCAGGGGAGGCGGCAGGGCGGGUCUGUCCUACCUGCGCCCGAGCACUGCGGAGACAACAUCCCUUCCAGCGCCGCCACGUAGUCCAGCCCCAGCCAGUCGCGGUAGGUGGUUUUCUCUCCGACAGGCACCGCCCGGACGGUGGCAUCCUUGAAAAGCAGGUCUUGGCCAUGAUAGUUGGAGGAGUCGAACAUUUUGAACCCGUUCUUAUUGUGGUCGUCUCCAAACAGGUCCUGGAAGCACCGCAAGCAGACGACCUGCUUCUCACUGGGCUCAGGCAGGGUCACCCGCCCAGUGCCGCUUGCUGCAAAUUGCUUUACAUACAGUGACCCAAACAGCAAUAUCUCCCCACAAACCUAAACAAUUUCGAGAGGGACUUGUGUUCUGCAACCAGUCACAGAAUAUCAGGUGAGCUGGGCGUGUCUUCACUGACCCACCCGCCCAGGGAUGCUGCACUCCUCUCCACCCUGCUCAGAAUCACUAGAAUGACCGUUCUGGGGCUACAGCCCUAAAAGAGCUACUAAAAAGACCAGAAGUAGUAUGAGAACUUAUGAAUACAAAUAUAAAUAAAGGACAUCUGGAGAACAUGCAUGAAUGUCUAUGUAAAGUGUUAAGUACUGAUCAAGGAGGAAUGAAGGAGUCAGGUGGCUCUCAGUCUUUUUGGAGGGACUCGCAGAUCCUCCUGAAGAUCUGAUGAAAGCUGUCAGCCUUCUCCCCAGAAAAAUGCACAUCCACCCAGGAUUCUUCUCCCACAUUACUUCAGAGGACUUAGCAACCCCCUAGGGAAGCCCAGGGACCCAGAGUAAAGUACUCCUGGGAUAGAGGGGUUCUGUGGGGAAGAUAACAGGAAGGAACAUGCAUCAGUUCACAAUGUCAAAGUUUAGGAACAGGCCUGGCGAGCCAGCCAGCUCUGCAGUUCUGUGGUGCUGGUGGGUGUGGAGAAGGCAAUUUCAGCAUAAGUCGGGGGAGGGGGAGUGGUUAGAAACCAGUGGCUCCAUUGUGAGACAACCUGGGUUUAAAUUCUAGGUAUAUUUUGAAAGCACAACCAAUGGGAUUUGCUGAUAGAUUGGCUGUAGAGCACGAGAGGAAGACCGGAGUCAAAAGUGACUCCCGAGGAAAUGGAAAAGCUCAAGUUGCUCUUAACUGAAGUGGGGAAGACUGAAGGAGGGACGGGGGUCCAACUUUGGACUUGAUCCAUUUGAGAUGACUGUUAGAAACACAAGUCAAAUGUCAAGUAUGUAGUUAAACAUGCAAGUUUGGGACUGAUGUCUGAAGAUGCAAAUUUAGAAGCCAUCUGUAUAUGGAUGGUAUUUGAUGACAUGGGAUUGGAUGAGAUCAAGGGUAAGCUGUAGAUGGGGAAGAGGGCUGAGAACUGAAUCCUAGGGCUAACAGGUCAGGGAGAUGGGGAGGAAAUCAGCAGAGAAGACUGAGGAGUGGCCAGAGAGUGAGAGGACAGCCAGGCAGGGCUGAGGACCUGGGCAUCUGCAGGGGAAGGUGUUUCCUGGAGGAGGGAGAGCUGUGGCCAGUGCCACUGAGAGGUCAAGUAAAAUGAAGACUGAGAAAUGGCCACUGGGUUUAGCAACAUGGGUCACUGUGACCUUGACAAGAACAGCUUCAGGGCCCUGGUGGGAGCCUGUCUGGGGUGGUCUCCAUCCUUAAGAGAGGCCAGAGGAGAGGACUUGCUAACUCAGUCUCCAUCCUUAAGAGAGGCCAGAGGAGAGGACUUGCUAACUCAGUCUCCAUCCUUAAGAGAGGCCAGAGGAGAGGACUUGUUAACUCCAGAGCAGACCACUCUUUGGAGGAGUUUUGCUUUGAAAGGGAGCAGGAUUGGCCGGGCAUGGUGGCUCAUGCCUGUAAUCCCAGCACUUUGGGAGGCCGAGGUGGGCAGAUCACGAGGUCA